rnacentral:rRNA from 1 species
UCCAGGAAGGCAGCAGGCGCGCAAAUUACCCAAUCCUAAUUCAGGGAGGUAGUGACAAUAUAUAACGAUACAGGGCCCUUUUGGGUCUUGUAAUUGAAAUGAGUACAAUGUAAAUACCUUAACGAGGAACAAUUGGAGGGCAAGUCUGGUGCCAGCAGCCGCGGUAAUUCCAGCUCCAAUAGCGUAUAUUAAAGUUGUUGCAGUUAAAAAGCUCGUAGUUGAACCUUGGGCCUGGUUAGCCGGUCUGCUUUUUUGCAUGUACUGGAUUUAACCGGGUCUUUCCUUCUGGCUAACCUUUUGGUGAACCAGGACUUUUACUUUGAAAAAAUUAGAGUGUUCAAAGCAGGCCUUUGCUCGAAUAUAUUAGCAUGGAAUAAUAGAAUAGGACGUUAUGGUUCUAUUUUGUUGGUUUCUAGGACCAUCGUAAUGAUUAAUAGGGACGGUCGGGGGCAUCAGUAUUCAAUUGUCAGAGGUGAAAUUCUUGGAUUUAUUGAAGACUAACUACUGCGAAAGCAUUUGCCAAGGACGUUUUCAUUAAUCAAGAACGAAAGUUAGGGGAUCGAAGAUGAUCAGAUACCGUCGUAGUCUUAACCAUAAACUAUGCCGACUAGGGAUCGGGUGGUGUUCUUUUUUGACCCACUCGGCACCUUACGAGAAAUCAAAGUCUUUGGGUUCUGGGGGG